rnacentral:rRNA from 1 species
GACGAACGCUGGCGGCGUGCUUAACACAUGCAAGUCGAACGAUGAAGCCGGAGCUUGCUCUGGUGAAUUAGUGGCGAACGGGUGAGUAACACGUGAGUAACCUGCCCUUGACUCUGGGAUAACUGCGGGAAACUGUAGCUAAUACCGGAUACGACCCUCGGAGGCAUCUCCUGGGGGUGGAAAGAAUUUCGGUCAAGGAUGGACUCGCGGCCGAUCAGCUAGUUGGCGAGGUAACGGCUCAUCAAGGCGACGACGGGUAGCCGGCCUGAGAGGGGGACCGGCCACACUGGGACUGAGACAUGGCCCAGACUCCUACGGGAGGCAGCAGUGGGGAAUAUUGCACAAUGGGCGCAAGCCUGAUGCAGCAACGCCGCGUGAGGGAUGACGGCCUUCGGGUUGUAAACCUCUUUUAGCAGGGAAGAAGCGAAAGUGACGGUACCUGCAGAAAAAGCACCGGCUAACUACGUGCCAGCCGCCGCCGUAA